rnacentral:rRNA from 1 species
UACGUAGGUGACAAGCGUUGUCCGGAUUUACUGGGCGUAAAGAGCGCGCAGGCGGUCGAUCAAGUCGAGUGUGAAAGCCCCCCGGCUCAACUGGGGAGGGUCAUUCGAUACUGAUCGACUCGAAGGCAGGAGAGGGUAGUGGAAUUCCCGGUGUAGUGGUGAAAUGCGUAGAUAUCGGGAGGAACACCAGUGGCGAAGGC